UAUAAUUUUGUUUCUGUUUUAGCAAAAGGAAUCAUUUUACUUCCAAGAAAAACAUUUUUUUGCUAAAAGUCAUGUUAAAAUAUUUAGAAGAUUCUUGUUUCAUGUAAAAUCUGCUCAUUAUAGAAAGAUAUUUAAUAUUUUACAAUUAAGUAGCUAAUCAGUUUUGUUUUCUCUUCUCUUGGAUUAUAUGUGAUUUAUUUCAAAUAUAUAUUGUGCUUUACGUAGAGAAUAAUCUGGGGACAACUUUGAAGCUCUAGAGUAGUUCAUUAAAUUAUAACCAUUAUAUGGAAGAAAAUACAAGCUCCUUUGUAGAAGAUGCUAUUUUUUAUAUUGCCUCACUAACUUUGUUACUGAUUCAGUGAUACCUAUCACUUGUUUUCUCAGCUUUGUUUGUAAAUUAGAUAAAAGUGAAUGCCUGAAGUGCUAAGAUCAUCAAGAACUAAUGACUCUUGAUAGUGAGAGGGCACUGGCACUAGCACACAGAGUUGGCAUGAUCCAUCGGAAGACACGUCCUGGGAGCCCCACAGCUUCUGACACAGGUGGUAGUCUUCUCCACAGGUGGCCGAGCUAUCCUUGGUGUGGACUCACGAUGGAAACCUUGGAAGUGUCUCCUUGCCCCAAAGGGAGAGUUGCUCUGUGGAGUGUCGAGUACCAGGCGGAGCUCCUCUACCGCCUCAUAGAGCACAUCGUCCAUGAGCUCAAGGACGCAGGGGUUUUCAGUCUCACCUGGAAGAAUAACAUCAGCAGGAGGAGCAGCGAGGACGGCGUGGGCUGUGGAGCCGAGCACAAUGACAGCGCCUUCCUGGAGCCUGGGUACCACAUCUGCCUGGAAGAUCUUGGCGAUCUCCACAGAGCUGCCUGGAGGGGCAUAGUCCCCAGAGUGGAGCUCAUCCUCAUGCUCAGGGACCCUGGCUUGGACAAGAGAGACAAGAAGAAGAGGUCCCGCAGCACCUGGGAUGUGGAAUCCCUGGAGGAGUCACAGGGCCCAGGCCGCUUCAUGAGCCCCCAAAACGAAAACCACAUGCAGCCGUGA
ensembl:lincRNA